CAAUAGGCAAUAAUUUUUUUUUUUUUUUUUUUUUGAGAUAGAGUUUCACUUUUGUUGACCAGGCAAUGGUGCAUCUGGGCUCACCGCAGCCUCCGCCUCCAGAGUUCAAGCGAUUCUUAGCCUCAGCCUCAGAGUAGCUGGGAUUACAGGCAUGUGCCACCAUGCCCGGCUAAUUUUGUAUUUUUAGAGACAGGGUUUCUCCAUGUUGGUCAGGCUGGUCUCGAACUGACCUCAGGUGAUCCGCCCGCCUCGGCCUCCCGAAGUGCUGGAUUCCAGGCGUGAGCCGCUGCGCCCGGCAGACAAUAACGUUCUGAGUUGUUGCUGAGUCUGGCUUUUGUGAGGGGAACUUUUAGCACUCAAGGAGUGGCCUUGCCUCUGGCCCGUCCCCAAGUGCUCAUGGGCAGCCAAGUUUGGGGGACUGCUCGGGCUUGGUAGAUGUACUUGCCAGGCCAGCUCCCGUCCCGGGGACCUCAGGGAGUAGCUUCAUCCCUGACGGCUCAGUGUCUCCUGUCUCAUGUGGGUGGCCCCUCUGCAGGGUUCUCAGGCACCCAGGGAAGUGGGUGCCACAGCCUCACUGGGGCUGGCUGGGCUUUGUUCUGACAACACAGCAGUGGCUAGGCCCCUGCAGCUCUCCGGGGCUCGGUUUCCCUGUUGGCCGCACUAUGGCGUAGGCCCCGGUGUGGACACCGAUGAGCUGACCCCCCCACAAAUACCACUCGGCCGCUCCCCCAGGCUUCAGUGACCCAAGAGCCCUUGUGUGAAGAACCAGCUUAAAGAAUCUUUCUUGCCUUCUCAAACUCCAGGAAUUCCUGGUGACUGGAAGGGGAGUGACACGGGUCCUCAACCUCUAGCAGGUAAGGGAGCUGCCUCCUGGGUGGGCGUGCCCAGUUCCUCAGCGGGCCCAGCGGGGCCCAGCCUCCGAGGAAGCUCCAAGCAGCUGGCUUAGCUCCGAGGUAUUUUUAGCUACAGAUCCAGCCCCUUCCAUCACCACAACAGUCGAGUCCAAAUCAAACGCGCUCCAGGCAGGUGGGACUGGGGUUCUGCCAGCCUCCUGGCCAGCAGGGGUGGGUAGGCAGACUGGGGCCAGUAUCGGCUGUUCUGCCUGGGCCCAGGCCGGACUGGGAAAGCACACUUGUUCUCAUUUCCCGCCUCCACUUUCGUGCCAGCUUGUGCUGUCAUGAGCAGAGAUUCACAGCCCCAUUUCUUGGAUGGAAAAAGUGGACACUGAGGUCUGAGGCUUUUGAGGACAGUCAGGAGCCCCCCUUUGGGCUUGAGUGACGCACUCACGAGCUUCUGGUCCUCUUCCUCCACCACCUGGAAUGCCUUGGCUACCUCCUGUGGUCCUAGGGAACCUCGGCCCCAGCCCUGCCUCCCCAGCCAGUCACAGCUCCUCCCUGGUCACCCUGGGGACCUCAGGGCCCGGCUGGUGGCUGUGCUCCUCUCCUUCUGUCCCCCAGUCCCAUGGAGCCUGGCAGGCAACUCCUCCAUGAUCUGAACCCCGUUACCUUGACAGCCCUGCCUGGCCUCCCCUCUCAUGGCCCAGCCACCCCAGAACCUGAAGAGGUUUUCUAGCUGCCGUGCAUUUGUCAGGCCGGGUUACCCACCCUACUUUUCCUGCCUGCCCUCCAGUGCUGCCAAGCACAGUGUGCCAGCCAGCACUCAGCCUUCUGUAAAGGGUUCCCCUCGCCCAACCUGACCUCCUGGAAAGCUGGAGCAUAACUGCCUCUCAAUAAACGUGUUGCAAAAAA